AAUACAUGCAAGUCGUGGGAGCAAUACUACCGGCAAACGGGUGCGGAACACGUACGCAACCUUCCUUAAAGUGGGGGAUAGCCCAGGGAAACUUGGAUUAAUACCCCGUAAUAUUACGGAGUGGCAUCACUUUUAAUUAUAGCGCAAUAGCUUGAAGAUGGGCGUGCGCCUGAUUAGGUAGUUGGCGGGGUAACGGCCCACCAAGCCUUCGAUCAGUAACUGGUGUGAGAGCACGACCAGUCACACGGGCACUGAGACACGGGCCCGACUCCUAUGGGAGGCAGCAGUAAGGAAUAUUGGUCAAUGGACGAAAGUCUGAACCAGCCAUGCCGCGUGGAGGAUGAAGGUCCUCUGGAUUGUAAACUUCUUUUAUUUGGGAAGAAACCCACGAUUUCUAUUGUGGUUGACGGUACCAGNUGAAUAAG
rnacentral:rRNA from 1 species